rnacentral:rRNA from 1 species
UACAGAGGUCCCAAGCGUUGUUCGGAUUCACUGGGCGUAAAGGGUGCGUAGGCGGUCGGGUAAGUCUGACGUGAAAUCUUCAAGCUCAACUUGGAAACUGCGUCGGAUACUAUUCGGCUAGAGGAAUGGAGGGGAGACUGGAAUACUUGGUGUAGCAGUGAAAUGCGUAGAUAUCAAGUGGAACACCAGUGGCGAAGGCGAGUCUCUGGACAUUUCCUGACGCUGAGGCACGAAAGCGUGGGGAGCAAACAGG